CUCUGCCUGCCAGCCUGCCCUGUGGAUUUUGGACUUGCCAGCCCUUACCAUUGUGGGAACCUAAUCCUUAAACAACUCAAUCUCCACUACCCUCCUCGCCCUUCUCUCUCUCUCUCUCUCACACACACACACACACACCCACACACACACACCCACCCACACACACCCACACACACACACACACACACACACACACACAUCCAAUUGAUUCUGUUUCUUUGGAGAACUCUGACUAACACAGUCUCCUUCUCAGUAUUAAUGUUUUUUUCUUGGACAGAAAAUAUAGAUAAAAUAGAAGUCUAGAAGUUCUGUUUUCUCUCACGACCAAAUUCUUCUAUUUCUCUUUUAACCCAUUCAGAUUUGUGAGUCCCGGAGCGUGCUUUGCCAGGGCUCUGUUGAGUUCCACAGUGCAUUGAGCACCACUAUGUGGGAGGCACUGGCUCUCAACAGGCAGCAGGCACCUUUUCCCUAAUGAACUGUCUUUCCAGGUUUCACUCAAGCCCUUUCUAUCAGACUUCUACCAUGCAGCUCUGCCAAUUUCUUUAAGCAUCUCUCCCUUCUUCCUGACUGUCCUGACCAGGAAACUCCCUAAUCUCUAAUAUCUAAAGUCAUGAAGCCAAUUGCAUCAUUAGAUGCGCAGUAUAUAUAAAUAACAUUUACUUACAAGAAUAUUUUUAUAGAAAUGUAUGUAAACAUACUUACAUACAUUUCUAUAAAUACAUUUAAAUUCCUAAAGACUUGUUUGAGCAAUUUAAAAAAAAAAUGCUCCAGUUUAACUUCCUACUACAAUUAGGAAUUUGGGGCAGGGUGCAUAAUUGCCAGUGUACUCACAGUGACUGCAAUUAGAAUGUGCUGUGGAGUCAGAGGAACUGCCUGACAGUGCCGGGCAGUUGACCCUGGGCUGGGUUCAGAGCUCUCCAGUGGCCACUGAGAAGUAGGAGAGUGUUUCCUGCACAAUCCUGAUUUCUUGGGGGAGGAGGUACUACUGCACGCUGCUGGGAGGAGCCUCUGAAACUCUCCUGGGCCAGGUCUCCUCCCGUGCUUCCUCUCCCUGAGGCAGCCUCACCUCUUGACGCCUGUCCCCAGCACACCCUUCUGUAGCUUUCCUCUGACUCACCCCUCUGUGUGUCUUUCUCUCCAACUCGGGGUCCUGUCACCUAGGCCUCUCUCCUUUUUCCUAGGUGGCUGGCAGUUGCUCUUCCCUUGGUUUUCUCUAAUUUGAUCUCUUUCCCACCCUUCCAGUCUGCCACAGUCACCCUUGAUAUCCGCAGAAUCCACCCUCCUUGGAAGGGAUGAGGAAGGGGGUUUAUAUAACUCAAUUUCAUUUGUAAUGUUUCAAAUGGUAUUUUUUUUCUGGGAAUAAUUGGCGCUGGAUUCUGAACUAUCUUUCCUGUUGCAAAGAAUGAAAUCCCUUCUAGGUGAUGGGGCUUGAUCUUUCUCUGUUGCAAUAGCAGCGAUGUCCAAAACAAUCAAUCAGAGGCAUUUUCUACCGUACCUGAGCCAUUCAGUGGUUUCGACCUCUGCUCCAGAUUACCCAGGGUUAUCCAGAUGGGUUAAUGCGAGUCCUUAGAAUGGUGUUUCCCACCUUGAGAGUGGGUUGUUGGCUAGGUGUGUGGGGGAGCUGUUUGUCUACACCUCAGAAACGCUCACAACAGCAGGUUCCAGGGAAAGUCCCUGGGUGUCCAGUAAAAGCUGGGUCGCCCUCCCUAGGGGGCUCUGAGACUAGCAGAACUGAUGGCCCCAUAAUUUGAGCACAGGUAUGCAUAUUUCUUAGGGGUUGGUGGGCAGACUCAUUCAUGUUCCCAUCCCAGGGGUGCAGGGGACCCUUCUCCCUUCCCCACAUCAGCCCAGGGCCACAGAAGCUCCUCAGGAGGCAAGGAAGGGAAUGGAGAGGACAAGAGUGCCUACAGAGUGGGAAGGAGACAAGCAUUCUCAGGUAUUUAUCCAGGGUAAGGGCAAGGGCUUUUCUGCAGUCCAGGACAUUAGAAGAGUCCUGAACCAAGAACUCCACCCCUGCCCCGAUAUCAGCUGUUUUUAUUGACUGAGCUGUUGGAGAACAGUUUUGGUGUGCGGAAACAGUGAGAUCCCUAACCCUACACCCCUGAACCCAGCAGAUAUAUCCACACUGACCAGAAAGGACUGGCUAACCACAAGCCUGCCUGUGCAUGGCAGGGAAAGGAAAGCCAUUCUUGAGUAAAUGGUGUUCAAAGGUUGGGCAAUAUAUGUAUAUGGUGUUCUCCUGUGGACAUAAUUGUGCACAAGGGUCAGAAGAAAUUGCUUUCAUUGGGCAAGCUACUUAACCUGUCUAAAGCUUUGUUUUUUUAUGAUCUGUAAAUGAAGACAGAUCCUAUCUCAUGGCUCUGCACGUCACACAGCGAUAGCAGACAGGUAAUUAGGAUGCAGGUAGUUAGCAGACAGCCUGGGUGUACUUUAGCUGUUCAAGUUUCCUCAACCUGGCCUCCUAGCCAUGACCUUUCACAGAGGUGCAAAUCAUCUAUGAGUUUGCACAGAAUCCCCUGCAAGGAAAUAUGUUCUUGUUCUUGACUUACAUUUGAGUUGGUUGGUCUUACAGUUAAGGCGGAGGUCAUCACUCUUAAUAAAGGCCAUUUUAAGUGGAGUGACAAGUCACUAAGGGACUUGUUGGCAUUGUUUACUUCUUAUCCAGGGCUUUCCAAGAAGGGACAGUGUGUCUGAGUUUUUAUCUUAUGAAGGUUUCCCACCUGCAGUUUAGUUUACUAUUAUUCUAAGGGCUGUUUAUAAAUGAACUAGCUUGUCUUUGCACUCAGGGUAAUUCACAGAUUUGUCAGUGACUUCAUUGCAGCUGUGAGCUUUACACGAACCUUGCAAUCCGCCUUGAAAAAUGAAACUGAGUAUAAGUGGGGACCAAGGAAGAAUGUUUUUGAGGGAAAUAGAAAUUACCAUCCUAAAAAUGGUUCCUUCUGUGUGUCUGCUGAUAGAAACCCUUGACCUCUUUAGAAACAACCGCAAAAUUAUUCACUACAAUUAUCUGAAUCUCAUAAAUAAAAUAAUGAUUACAGCUGCAUGGAAUUAUUCAGGUCUAAAUUCAUAUAAACAUAUCCCUAACAAAUUUAUUUAUCAUGACAGGAAAGGAAAGCAUAGCUUUGUGCACCCCAUCCCACACCCUCCACCCCCUACAAAUUUUACUAACACUGUUUCUGGGUUCAGAAUUUUUUUGCCUGAGUUGGUACCUCAAAUCACUUGAGUUAAACUGCAAAUGAAUCACACAUAAUGCAGAUAAAAUGACUUCAUGCCCUAAUUUCUAGAACGUGACCUGAAUGUGAACUAGACAUUCGUUUUCCUAAACCCCAUGAGACCCAGGUAUUCUUGACAUGUGUAGAGAGGAUUGAAGGGGCCCGAGGCUGUCUGUCCUCUCUCCGUGGGCCUGGCUCUCCUUGGACCAAAUCGAAUGCAUGGGAACACACCCCCCAGUUGUCUUUUUCCUUCGGUUUAUAUAAUUCCUGGCAUGUGCCUUUCAACACUCCGUUUAUGUUAGAAGUUUGGUAUUAGCCUCGGGGCUUUACUCUUGACACUGCUACUAAUUCUCUACUUUAUAUUCGUGAUUGCCCUUCUGAAAGGAGAAUCUUGUUUCAAAAUUGCACCUGGGCAUUUUAAAGUAAAUAGGAUGCAAAUCCUUAGUUGGCCUCUUGUGUACAUUAACUUCAGAGUGAAGAAUGAAUAUGUAAGACAGUGAUGGGGGAUGGGGAGUUGAGCAAGGAAAAUAAUUUGCAUAAUGGUGUUUGCUCCCUGGUGAAACUGAAACCCAGCCUGUGUGGAAGCACACAUUGUUCUUUCUUCCCGCACAUUUGAAUCUCUCAGUGGGGUCUCAUUUUCUGUGACAUGGCAAACCUCAAAAAAUGGGAGUAAAUCAUUUCUAAAGAGCUUAGCUAGGCAUGGUGGCUCACGCCUGUAAUCCCAGCACUUUGGAAGGUCGAAGUGGGAUGAUUGCUUGAGCCCAGAAGUUUGAGACCGGCCUGGGCAACAUAGUGAGACCUCAUCUCCACACACACACAUGCGCGUACACACACACGAGCGCGCAUGUGUGUGCACACACACACAAAUUAGCCAGGUGUGGUGGCAUGGUAAUUCCAGCUACUCUGGGGGCUGAGGUUGGGAGGAUGGUUUGAGCCAGGGAGGUCGAGGUUGCAGUGAGCUGUGAUGGCACUGCUGCCCUCCAGCCUGGGUGACACAGUGAGAUCUUAUCUCAAAAAAAAUAAAAAAAUCAAAAAUAAAGAGCUCCUGAUUUCCAUCCCCCACCGAGAAUCAUUUUCUGAGUCAGCUGGAGUGUUUCAGAGCCCAACACCCAAGGAGCAGUGCAGGGAUGGUGCCCAGUUACAGGGGACAACUCAGCUCUGAAUGUUACAAAGGGCACUUCAUGGACCACCACCUUUUCUCUGCUUGCUCUGUACCCCUAAAGUACUACAAGGCAUUUUUGGUUAAUAAUAAUUUGAAUACUAUGUGAUCUUGUAGAUUCUACUGCGUUUGGCUAGCUAAUGUCUCUAAGUAGCAAGAUGAUUUAUUUUUUCUGGACAAUACCAGGACUAUAUGCUGAUACAGGACUGGCUUGCUCUAAGGAUCAGAUUUUCCAGUGUAAAAUAUAUACUCCUUAUAGGGUUGUAAGAGCAGAAGCCCUUCAUAGCCUGUUUCUUUUUGCUCUCUCUUCAGCCAGCAGUUGGCCUGGAUCUUUGCUGGUAGACACAGGGAAUGUUCUCCUUGACGAGUGGUUCCCACCCUGGCAGCCUCAGAUCCCACCAUGUUGGCAGGGAUGCUGAAAUCCACCUGCCUAUCAGCCUUUGUAAAUAACAAAAAUCACAAGUGGCUCUAGCAUUUAUGUAUUCUAUGAUAUUGGGACUCGUGAUAUAAAUAAUACAAAUGCUUUUACAUGCAUAAUUCAAUUUAUACUAUGUUUUAUCUUUAAUUACUGGAUAAUAAAAACAUAACUACUCUCAGGAAGUGUGGGGGAUUGUGACUCAGGCUAAGGUGAGCCUCACAGCCUGGAGGCUGGCUUUAGUGCUGGCUGGGAGAGCUGCAAGGAGAUGGCAUAUGCUGCCGAUGAAGGUGUUCUCCAGGAAUUUUCAGUUAGAAGUUUUGAUCAUUGUUCAUUUGGCCUCAGGAUGAACAUCAUGGUACUGCUCUUCAUUCUCUAUAAUUAAUAUACUUUUCACCGUCAACUUUGCAUUUGAAAGUAUUUAUUUUAUGGGAAACAGUGAAAAGUAGAUAAUUAGCACAUGUGCAAAUCUGUUUGGCAUUUGUGGGGUGUUUGCCCUGAAAACCUAUGGAUGAAGCCCAAAGACAGGAGCUGGGGGGUUUC
rnacentral:lncRNA from 1 species